GAUGAACGCUGGCGGCGUGCCUAACACAUGCAAGUCGAGCGAUUUACUUCGGUAAAGAGCGGCGGACGGGUGAGUAACGCGUGGGUAACCUGCCCUGUACACACGGAUAACAUACCGAAAGGUAUGCUAAUACGAGAUAAUAUACUUUUAUCUCAUGGUGGAAGUAUCAAAGCUCUGGCGGUACAGGAUGGACCCGCGUCUGAUUAGCUAGUUGGUAAGGUAACGGCUUACCAAGGCGACGAUCAGUAGCCGACCUGAGAGGAAGGUCCCCCACAUUGGAACUGAGACACGGUCCAAACUCCUACGGGAGGCAGCAGUGAGGAAUAUUGCACAAUGGGCGCAAGCCUGAUGCAGCGACGCCGCGUGAAGGAUGAAGUAUUUCGGUAUGUAAACUUCUAUCAGCAGGGAAGAAAAUGACGGUACCUGACUAAGAAGCCCCGGCUAACUACGUG
rnacentral:rRNA from 1 species